GGCCCCGUGCGGUCGGCGUUCAACUUCUUAGAGGGACAAACACGCUGAUCCGCCCAUUUUGGCGCGUGUGCAGCCCCGGACAUCUAAGGGCAUCACAGACCUGUUAUUGCUCCAUCUUGCUUGGCUGAAUGCCACUUGUCCCUCUAAGAAGUUGAACGCCGACCGCACGGGGCCACGUAACUAUUUAGCAAGCUGGAGUCUCGUUCGUUAUCGGAAUGAUCCAGACAAAUCGCUCCACCAACUAAGAACGGCCAUGCACCACCACCCACAGAAUCGA